UUCUAACGCUGGACCUAUGGAAACAGUUCCAGUGCCCACUCUUGGAGGGG
rnacentral:lncRNA from 1 species